UGAAACUGCUUGGCUCUGUGGAAUCAGAACAUGAAGUGCCUACACUUCGGUUUAAUGAUUAUCUGGCUUUUAAAUAGUCGUUUCUCCACUACGUACAUGUGUCUUUAUCGUUUGUGGGUGAGCACAUUGCAAGACUAUAUACUUUUAACAGGAUAACCAAAGAAGAAGGCUGCUGGAGACAUGAGCGAGGAAAGAGGCAAAACACUUUUACCAGGUACCAGUGCACUUCAGCGUAUGCAGCAGGGAUAUUGAAGAAGAAGAAAAGAAGACCUUCAACAAUGUCUUCUGUCUUAUGAACAUUAGGGAAGGCUUUUGCUUGCCACAUAGGACUUCAGUCUGACUAAAAAGAUCGAGAAAAUGGGCUUGGUAGAAGUUCUGGUAACUCAUAGAACCUCAAACAUAGACAAAGAACUACAGGCAACUAAAAGUAGCAGAGAACUUGGCUGAAUUAUGCCCAUGCCCGAAGGCUUUGUAGAAGGAGAAGUUUAAGAUGAGUGAGCUGGGACAUUUGGUGGAAGAAACUUUUAAGCAGAAUAUUCAAGGAUUCACAGCCUUCUUGUAGGUGCUAGUAAAUGAGAAUAAUGGCAAGGUUGCCUCCACUGCAAAUGGAGGAACACCAGAAGAAAACAAGCUGAUGACACCAAGGGAGACACCCUCUGGCUACUUGCCUUGAGUUCCCAAUUUCUGAUUGCUUGGGUCCCUUUAAAUAUUGGGAGUUGGAGUUGGCCUCACUCUAAAGUAUUGCCCUCAGAAUCUCUGAGUGAGCCUUGGGUUCCAGUCUACCAUUGAGAGAAUCCAGGCAUGAACUCAAAGCAGGAGCCUGAAGCAGGAACUGAAUAAGAGACCAUGGAGGAAUGGUACUUACUGACUGACUUGCUACUGUGAAUUGCACAGCUGUGCUUCUUAUACAGCCAGUAGCCACUGGCUGUUUACAGCUGGCUUGGCCAUUCUACAUCAUUAGCAACAUAUCCACAGACUCAUCUGAUGGAUGGACAUAAUCCUUAACCUGAUAAUCCUUCUUCCCAGGUUGUUUUCAGUUACCAAAUCAGCUGAGUCAGAGUUGAAUAUGCUCCCACAUGCCAGUGUCACCAUCAUUGCCAUCCUCAUGUCAUAGUGGACAUCACUUCCUGAGAAAGAAAAGGCCAUACUGGGGGAAUUUAUUUCAAUAGCCUUUUAUUUUACUUAAAACUGUAUAUGUCUAACAUAAAAUUGUAUUUUAUUCAACCACCAGAGGGAGCCUCCAAAUCUAUGGUUUCUGAAAAGGAAAUAUGACUGAAAUGUCAACUUUAUAAAUAUUAUGCUUGACAACUAAAAACCCAAUACAUUCCAUUUCAUUCCAUUGGCUUCCAUGAGGGUUUUCAUAUAGAAGAUGUCAGGCUCUUUUCCUGUUCCAUAUGCCAUAUCAUUUUGGUUAACAGUUUUUAUAUAAUACUCUAUUUUUGCAUGAUUUUGUUUCUUUCAGUGUUUGAGUAAUUCUGAUAUUUUAAUUAUACAGUUGAUUGAGACUCACCAAUAUCUUGUUUCAAAAUGAUUUUCCUUCAAUACUUCUUUUAAGUCCUAGCUUUUUUCAGGUGUAUUUUUGUCUUCACAUUGAUGAUCUUUAUCCAUAUAUUUUUUCUAUAACCCCAAACCAAGGGUUUGCCACAUCUAUUCCUUUCCAUAUUUAUUAAUUUUGAUACAUUGCUUGUCUGACCAGGAUUUAUUAUUAAAUAUUUAAGAAGUGUCUUGGGAUUUUAGAAUUAUGAGUCUUUUUUAUAUUUGGAAAUGUUAACCUAAUGCAUGUUUGACAAAUAGGGUGACCAUGAUAUUUUCAGGUGUUUCCUUCCAUCAUCUGCAAGCUCAUUUUCUCCCAUGGAGAAUCAAGUGAUUCAAAUGUUUCCACCAAUAUUAUUUACACAUGGGAUGAGGAAGGAUGUUAUCCAACUUUUUCCUCUUGGCAGAGCUGGCUAUUUCCCAUAAGGGAGAGCCCUGGACCUCCCAGAACUAACCUCCUUCGAUUGCUGAUACCUUGUCAGUAAACUUGAGUUUCCAUGUCCAUUUAGGUCUCUCUCUCACCUUCCCUCCCUCUGUCUCUCUCCAUCCCUCCUACAUAGACUUAGGCACGCAUCAUGCUGCUGUCACUACAGCAGCUGAGCUAGUCAAGAUACCCAUUAUCUCCAAGCAUUUCCUCCUGUCUGCUAUCUAUCGUGAUAAGAAUACUUACUUACCACAGUAGCACAUCUUUAGGGAAGGGUAGCUCUUGAAAGAAUUUGUUUUGUCUACUGUUUGUGCAUCACACUGUCAAGUGACCCUGUUUUUUUUUUUUUCUUUCACACACUAAUGUCAUCAAUCUUGUUUUGUGACUGUGAAAAAUUGUUGUGCACGGAGGUUAAGAAAAUUACCCAGGGUCACGGAGCAGAUGAGUGAAACCUAGGCCCAGAGCCAGGACUCUGGACCGCUGCGUUGACAUAUGGUCGUCCAAUGCUCCACAGCUGCAGGCUACUCUGCUCCUUCCCAGUGCACUUGAUAAACGUCAGCUAUUUUAACUCUCCAUCUGAGUCAAAGUCAAUGGAAUUUCACUAAAGUUAGUAGAAUGUUGUCUCAGUAGAAAAAUAAAUUAUGAAUAAUGAAUAGAGGUGAAACAGAUUCAUCCCUAGUCAGUAUUGACAGAAUCAUUCUUCUUUUUCUUUAACUUCUGACUCUCCAGAAAGUGCUUAUAGAUGUGUAAUAUUUCCACAAAAAGUUUCUAUGACAACACCACCUGAAUACUAACAUUUUAGACAAAGUAUUCCUUUGAUAUUUGUAUAAUUGAUAGUUAUAUGUAGAUCUUUAUUGGAUAAAUAAAGACUAUUUUCAAAUAAAGUAAAAACGCAAUAUAUAAA